AUUGAACGCUGGCGGCAGGCCUAACACAUGCAAGUCGAACGAGUGGCGGACGGGUGAGUAAUGUCUGGGAAACUGCCUGAUGGAGGGGGAUAACUACUGGAAACGGUAGCUAAUACCGCAUACCAUCAGAUGUGCCCAGAUGGGAUUAGCUAGUUGGUGGGGUAACGGCUCACCAAGGCGACGAUCCCUAGCUGGUCUGAGAGGAUGACCAGCCAAACUGGAAAUGAGAAACGGGCCAAACUCCUACGGGAGGGAGCAGGGGGGAAGAUUGCAACAAGGGCGCAAGCCUUAUGCCGGCAUGGCGCGUGUAUGAAGAAGGCCUUCGGGGUGGAAAGGACUUUCAGCGGGGAGGCGGUACCCGCAGAAGAAGCACCGGCUAACUCCGUGCCAGCAGCCGCGGUAAUUC
rnacentral:rRNA from 1 species